AGUGAACGCUGGCGGUAGGCCUAACACAUGCAAGUCGAACGGCAGCACAGUAAGAGCUUGCUCUUACGGGUGGCGAAUGGCGGACGGGUGAGGAAUACAUCGGAAUCUACUUUUUCGUGGGGGAUAACGUAGGGAAACUUACGCUAAUACCGCAUACGACCUACGGGUGAAAGCAGGGGAUCUUCGGACCUUGCGCGAUUGAAUGAGCCGAUGUCGGAUUAGCUAGUUGGCGGGGUAAAGGCCCACCAAGGCGACGAUCCGUAGCUGGUCUGAGAGGAUGAUCAGCCACAUUGGAACUGAGACACGGUCCAGACUCCUACGGGAGGCAGCAGUGGGGAAUAUUGGACAAUGGGCGCAAGCCUGAUCCAGCCAUACCGCGUGGGUGAAGAAGGCCUCCGGGUUGUAAAGCCCUUUUGUUGGGAAAGAAAAGCAGCAGGUUAAUACCCCGCUGUUCUGACGGUACCCAAAGAAUAAGCACCGGCUAACUUCGUG
rnacentral:rRNA from 1 species